rnacentral:misc_RNA from 1 species
GUGAGUCAUCGAAUCUUUGAACGCAUAUUGCGCCUUCCGGUAUUCCGGGAGGCAUGCCUGUUUGAGCGUCAGUACACUCUCAUCAAAGAGAAAUUGUCUUUUUGGAGACAGAUCUAUUUGAUGGUUAUGAGUCUCUUGAGGACUUGUCAUUGCGACACAGUCUUCUGACUUGAAAUGUAUUGUCCAAUGAAUUGACAAUCGAGAAUUUCGAUAGUGUGAUAGGUAUAUCCAACUCGCUUUGAAAGGCAUCGUGUCAAGUAUGGCAAAAUUGAGAGUACACUUGGCCUUUUUUGGGCAUGU